rnacentral:rRNA from 1 species
UACAGAGGUCUCAAGCGUUGUUCGGAUUCAUUGGGCGUAAAGGGUGCGUAGGCGGCGCGGUAAGUCGGGUGUGAAAUCUCGGAGCUUAACUCCGAAACUGCAUUCGAUACUGCCGUGCUUGAGGACUGGAGAGGAGACUGGAAUUUACGGUGUAGCGGUGAAAUGCGUAGAUAUCGUAAGGAACGCCGGUGGCGAAAGCGACGUACUGGACCUCUUCUGACGCUGAGGCGCGAAAGCUAGGGGAGCGAACGGG